GCCUCCCGUUUCCGUGCAUCCUAGAUUAUUCCCACUCCUACAUUUGAAACUAACCAUUAUUAUACAAAUGUUCCAUGUGACAGCAAGUAGAAACAUCGUCUUAAUAUUUGUGUCACUCAUGUAUCACUUGUGCUAAAUACAAACGCAAUACGAAACCGAACACAAAUGUGAACAAGCCAAACAUCUACAAAUAAAACCAAGAACUGUCACAAAAUACAAAGAAUGCAUCUCAGUUUUAUCAGAUUCUCCAUUUAAAACAGAACAUAUUAAGUAAACAAAAUUUCCUUCAAUUUUUUUAAAGCAUGUUCAUAUUAGUUUUUUCAAAAAUUGAAAUACAUCAUAGCAACAAAAUUUUUAAAAUAAAUAAAACAAAAUAUAGAAAAAAAAGUUCCAUGGCAAUGCUAUAGAUUGUAAAUUUAUAAGAAGGAUUUAAAUCUACAGACAGAUAUUCCCAAGAAAAAUUACUAUCCAUCUUUUUUUUUCUUCCAUCUUGCAAUGGGACAAAUAAUGAUUAUUGAAUGAGAAAAGUUAUGACUGAUACAUUUGCAG
rnacentral:misc_RNA from 1 species